UCAACCUAGGAUUGGUUAAGGAAAAGCAGGUCUGCUUUCUCAUGGAUGAUACAGGAUACAAUGCUUGUUAGGACGACAGGUUUAAGGAUGAUAAAGGACAAGCUUAAGGAUUAAGCAUGACUCGGUGCAGGAUGUGUCGAGUAAAGGGAUAAGUAUAAGGGUGAACAGCUUGUACUCGUCUAUGGAAGGUAUUGAGCAGGAUGCGUUGUGGAAUGAGUCAUAGGAUGUGACUGGAGCCGAAAUAGGAUUUUCGGAUCAAGGGAUUGAGUGUCAUGGUAAAACCAUCACACAGGGAAGAUAAAGGAUGCAGGGAUGGUAGGACGCACGCAUACGCAUGGAUGGUGCAGGGAGCACGAAUAAGCAGGAUGGCUUACAGAGGAUAAAUGGGGCGCACAUAGUGCGCC
rnacentral:sRNA from 1 species